UGUUGUUUAUUGAACAAAUAUUGAUCUGUAUUCAUUCACUGCCCUUACAUUUUGACAAAUUGUUUAUUCUUCUUGACUUAUACAAAUUUGAUAAGAGAAAAAAAUCAAAUGUUCUCAGCUGUAACUGUUCUAGAGCCUCAGAGAAAGAGUGUGAUGAUGGCUGAAGACACCAGCAGGAGGAUGACGCUGGGACCAGUGGGUAUGGCACUGUUACACAAGUCCCCCUCACAGCAAUCCAUUGGUUUUACACAAAAA